GAAAGCAUAAAGCUCAGUGGUUAAGAUGUUGGACUACUGAUCGGAAGGUCACGAGUUCAAACCCCAGCGUUGCCA